AAGUGCAGAGAAAAAAAUUAAAAAAACAAAUAAUGUACUAUUCCCAAUGGUUUAGAACCGUCGGGCAAAGUAUGGGCCACGACGGUUCAAAACUGUCGGGAAUGGGUCUAGUAAAAUAAAACCCUCCUCGCUCUCAUCAAGACAUUCAGACACGCUCAAACCCUCUCGCGCCUCACUCUGUCGAUCUCAUUUUCUCGAUGGACUAUCUCUCUCUCUCUGCAGCUUUGACGAUCUCUCUCUUUCUCUGCAACUCUCUCGCACGAGCCAGCUGCAUCUAUCUUUAACAGAUUCAAAACUGUUUCUCAGGUUUGUAGGGAGUGAGCAAAGACAGAGAAAUAGGGACAACAAACGAGUUAUCGUCUCUCUCUCGAUCACUCACUCACUCGGGUCUCUCUCUCUCUCAUGGCGACGCACCUCCACCACCACUGGCGACGCACAUCCGCCACCACCAGCAACGCAUCUCCGUCGCCUCUCCACCGUCGAGAGCCACUGCGCCGCCCUCUCUCUCUUAGCUGCAAUUGGAUAAGAGCAAUCCAUACUUAAAUGACGAGAUAAAUUUUCUACGUGAUCAGUGAAUUGAAUACGUCUGAGCACAGACGGUGCGACAAAGACUAUGACAAUAUUGAUCAGUUUCUGUUUUUGUUUAUACUAUACACUAACACCAAUUACUUUCAUAUAAUUAACGAUUAAGUAAGUUAGAAUA